rnacentral:rRNA from 1 species
AUUGAACGCUGGCGGCAGGCCUAACACAUGCAAGUCGAGCGGAUGAGUGGAGCUUGCUCCAUGAUUCAGCGGCGGACGGGUGAGUAAUGCCUAGGAAUCUGCCUGGUAGUGGGGGACAACGUUUCGAAAGGAACGCUAAUACAGCAUACGUCCUACGGGAGAAAGUGGGGGAUCUUCGGACCUCACGCUAUCAGAUGCGCCUAGGUCGGAUUAGCUAGUUGGUGAGGUAAAGGCGCACCAAGGCGACGAUCCGGAACUGGUCUGAGAGGAUGAUCAGUCACACUGGAACUGCGACACGGUCCAGACUCCUACGGGAGGCAGCAGUGGGGAAUAUUGGACAAUGGGCGAAAGCCUGAUCCAGCCAUGCCGCGUGUGUGAAAAAGGUCUUCGGAUUGUAAAGCACUUUAAGUUGGGAGGAAGGGCAGUAAGUUAAUACCUUGCUGUUUUGACGUUACCAACAGAAUAAGCACCGGCUAACUUCGUGCCAGCCGCCGCAGUAACAC